GUCAACAAUACAUCUUACAUAGCCUGCCGGCAUUGUUCUUUACCUUGAUUUCUUUUGCUUUGUGUUAAGGAUGCACCCCACCUGAGAAGGAUUAUUAAAAUCAAAAUAGAACUCGUUUUGAUCUCUCCAGUCCAACUAUGGUUGGUAAAUCUUGUCCAGGCUUGCCACAAUAUAAGGAGAUGAUGCUUUCCAUGAUUUUCCCUGGUACAGAUGUUGAAAACAAUCGUUGGCACCGCUUCAUUUCACAGGACUCAAAUAGCCAUCUACUGAAAUAACUCACUAACUAAACAGUAUUUACUGGCUUAUAAUAAGUAUUUGGAAAUAUCCAGCAACUCACACCAGGGGAAGCCAGAAGUCAUGCUGCUGACAGAUCCAAGGAACACCUCGAAGAAGUCUAAAAUGGUUUGCCAAGCACAUUACUGAAAAUAAACAUCCCGGGAAGGAAAAAAGAUGAAGUAAACAUGGUACAAAAAUAAAAGGCCAAUAAAAAGGUUUGCCAAUCUUCCCUGGGGCACGAGAUGCGUCCUUCAAUGGUAGGAGUAAAACUAACAUUUUAAAGCAAUGUGAAUAAUCGAAGCCAUCAAAAGGUGGCUACUUUAAUUUACAGCGUUACUGUAUUUAUUUAUUUCA